AGUGAACGCUGGCGGUAGGCCUAACACAUGCAAGUCGAACGGCAGCACAGUAAGAGCUUGCUCUUACGGUUGGCGAGUGGCGGACGGGUGAGGAAUACAUCGGAAUCUACUUUUUCGUGGGGGAUAACGUAGGGAAACUUACGCUAAUACCUCAUACGACCUACGGGUGAAAGCAGGGGAUCUUCAGACCUUUCGCGAUUGAAUGAGCCGAUGUCGGAUUAGCUAGUUGGCGGGGUAAAGGCCCACCAAGGCAACGAUCCGUAGCUGGUCUGAGAGGAUGAUCAGCCACACUGGAACUGAGACACGGUCCAGACUCCUACGGGAGGCAGCAGUGGGGAAUAUUGGACAAUGGGCGCAAGCCUGAUCCAGCCAUACCGCGUGGGUGAAGAAGGCCUUCGGGUUGUAAAGCCCUUUUGUUGGGAAAGAAAAGCAGCAGGUUAAUACCCCGCUGUUCUGACGGUACCCAAAGAAUAAGCACCGGCUAACUUCGUG
rnacentral:rRNA from 1 species